AUCAGUGACUGCUUGCACCGGUGCUUGUUGGUUGGAAGCAUGGUGGUGUCUAUCCAGCUAGUGUCAGAACCUCAACCUGGCAGAGACCUCUGGAGAUGGAGUCCAACCCCACUGCUGAAGCAGGGUCACCCACAGCAGCUGGCCCAGGAUAACAACAUCCAGCUCAUUUCCCUGCCCUGGACCUGGUUAUUGAAGGUGGAGCUUCUGGAGGUGGCUCAGCCCUGCAAGGACAGCAUGUCUGGCUGAAGAGAUGAAGGUCUGGCUAGUGCCAAGCAGCUGUUCUUUGGAAAUGAAGGUGAUCCCUGAGUGCUGAGGGACAGGGACAUCUUCCUUUCAUUAGUCUCUGUUACAGUCCUGCUCCCCAGAUCUCAGAGAGGCCAGGAGAGGUGGAGGAUUUGCUAUUUUCACAGUGUCACAGCAGUAGAUGCCAUGGGCUCAGUAUCUGAUGAGAAGUGGAGAGUAAAGGAGCUAUCUCCCCGGGGGGACUGAGGAGGUGAGGGAGAUACCUCCUCCUCCUCCUCAUUUCACUGAGCUCUCCUGCCUUUAACUGUGCCACUUCAACCCUCUUUCCCCCAAACUCCCUCUCCCAUGCUAAGUCCUUUGUUUUGCCCUUAGUAGGGGGGCACUCCCAGGACCCCUUUUGCAGCGCUCGCCCCAAAUCUGUGGGGAUUUGCUGCUUCUCGAGCGCUGCCCUUCUGCCAGAUCUGCUUUGAAGGCAAACAGAAUCCAAAGCUAAUAGCAGGCACUGAGGUGUGGAGAUGGAGUGGGACCUCAGAGGUCUUUUCUCCACAGAAAAUGAGAUAAAACACCCUUUAAAUCACCAAGAUUUCCAUUUCCCCCCUGGUGACCUACAGCUCUCCCAUCUCCAUACACAUCUUGUCCCAUACUCCUGUCUUCUACCUGCUCUUUCCACCUCAGAGAUUUU